rnacentral:rRNA from 1 species
UACAGAGGGUGCAAACGUUGCUCGGAAUCAUUGGGCGUAAAGCGCACGUAGGCGGCCUAGCAAGUAGGGAGUGAAAGCCCUCGGCUUAACCGAGGAAGUGCUUUCUAAACUACUAGGCUUGAAUACUGGAGAGGGUCGCGGAAUUCCCGGUGUAGAGGUGAAAUUCGUAGAUAUCUGGAGGAACACCGGUGGCGAAGGCGGCAUCCUGGACCAUUACUGACACUGAAAAGCGAAAGCCAGGGGAGCAAACGGG